AGCGAACGCUGGCGGCAAGCUUAACACAUGCAAGUCGAACGCCCCGCAAGGGGAGUGGCGGACGGGUGUAUAACGCGUGGGAAUCUACCCUUCAGUGUAGGAUAACUCAGGGAAACUUGAGCUAAUACUGCAUAAUAUAUCCGGAUCAAAGAUUUAUCGCUGAAGGAUGAGCCCGCGUCUGAUUAGCUAGUUGGUGGGGUAAUGGCCGACCAAGGCAACGAUCAGUAGCUGGUCUAAGAGGAUGAUCAGCCACACUGGGACUGAGACCCGGCCCAGACUCCUACGGGAGGCAGCAGUGGGGAAUAUUGGACAAUGGGGGAAACCCUGAUCCAGCCAUGCCGCGUGAGUGAUGAAGGCCUUAGGGUUGUAAAGCUCUUUCAGUAGGGAAGAUAAUGACGGUACCUACAGAAGAAGCCCCGGCUAACUUCGUGCCAGCAGCCGCCGUAA
rnacentral:rRNA from 1 species